rnacentral:rRNA from 1 species
GAUUAACGCUGGCGGCGUGCCUAACACAUGCAAGUCGAGCGGCAGCGAGUUUUACACUGAAUUCUGGAAGCUUCUAGUUGAAAGAGAAGAUUUAUUCAAGAAUUUUGUGUAAAAUGUCGGCGAGCGGCGGACGGCUGAGUAACGCGUGGGAACGUACCCCAAAGUGAGGGAUAACGCAUCGAAAGGUGUGCUAAUACCGCAUAUGGUCUUCGGAUUAAAGCCUUCGGGCGCUUUGGGAACGGCCUGCGUAAGAUUAGAUAGUUGGUGGGGUAAUGGCCUACCAAGUCGACGAUCUUUAACUGGUUUGAGAGGAUGAUCAGUCAGACUGGAACUGAGACACGGUCCAGACUCCUACGGGAGGCAGCAGUGAGGAAUCCUCCACAAUGGGCGAAAGCCUGAUGGAGCAACGCCGCGUGCAGGAUGAAGGCCUUCGGGUUGUAAACUGCUUUUAUAAGUGAGGAUUAUGACAGUAACUUAUGAAUAAGGAUCGGCUAACUACGUG